rnacentral:miRNA from 1 species
GAUGGAUAUAUACAUGUUGUGUAUAUGUGUGUGUGUGUAUAUAUAUAUAUAUAUAUAUAUACACACACACAUAUAUACACACACACACACACA